rnacentral:rRNA from 1 species
UGAGCUAACCCGUAAGGGAGGCAGCGACCUAAGGUAGGGUCAGCGAUUGGGGUGAAGUCGUAACAAGGUAGCCGUAGGAGAACCUGCGGCUGGAUCACCUCCUUUCUAUGGAGA